rnacentral:rRNA from 1 species
AUUGAACGCUGGCGGCAUGCUUUACACAUGCAAGUCGAACGGUAACAGGCCUUCGGGUGCUGACGAGUGGCGAACGGGUGAGUAAUGCAUCGGAACGUACCCAGAGGUGGGGGAUAACCCACCGAAACCUGUGUUAUUCCCCCAUGUGAUCUGAGGUUGAAACCGGGGGCCCGGCCAGCAUGUUUUGCCUCCCCCCCUUUGAACCGGCCGAUUUCGGAUUAGCUAGUUGGGGGGGUAAAGGCCUACCAAGGCGACGAUCCGUAGCUGGUCUGAGAGGACGACCAGCCACACUGGGACUGAGACACGGCCCAGACUCCUACGGGAGGCAGCAGUGGGGAAUUUUGGACAAUGGGCGCAAGCCUGAUCCAGCAAUGCCGCGUGCGGGAAGAAGGCCUUCGGGUUGUAAACCGCUUUUGGCAGGAACGAAACGGUGUCCGCUAAUACCGGGCGCUAAUGACGGUACCUGCAGAAUAAGCACCGGCUAACUACGUG